rnacentral:snoRNA from 1 species
CAGCUAUGAUGAAUUUUAUUCCAAUCAUUCGCAGUUUCCACCAUAAAGACUUUACAGUCUUAAUGAUGGCUGAAGAUCCUUCCUUGGAUGUCUGAGCUG